GGAUCAUUAGAGAGUAUAACAACUCCCAACCCAUGUGAACUUACCUAUGUUGCCUCGGCGGAGAGAGGACCUACCCACUAAGGGGUACCCGGGUCGAGAGACCCGGGAGUCCCGGGUACCCUCCCGCCGCCGCUGGCCCAUUAAACUCUGUUUUAUUAUUCGCUCGUCGAUCUAAAAGCAAAUAAGUUAAAACUUUCAACAACGGAUCUCUUGGCUCUGGCAUCGAUGAAGAACGCAGCGAAAUGCGAUAAGUAAUGUGAAUUGCAGAAUUCAGUGAAUCAUCGAAUCUUUGAACGCACAUUGCGCCCAUUAGUAUUCUAGUGGGCAUGCCUGUUCGAGCGUCAUUAAGUCCAUUAAGCCCUGUUGCUUAAUCCCGUGAAUGUGCUGGCCUGGCCUGCAGCUCCUCAAAAUUAGUGGCGGAGUCAGCGUACACUAUGGUGCCUGUAAUUUCGACUCGCUUCUGUGGUUGCGCUGGCGCCUGCCGUAAAACCCCCAACUUAUGCUCGCUUGACCUCGGAUCAGGUAGGAAUACCCGCUGAACUUAAGCAUAUCAAUAAGCGGAGGAAAAGAAACCAACCGGGAUUGCCCUAGUAACGGCGAGUGAAGCGGCA
rnacentral:rRNA from 1 species